GUAAAUCCAAAACUGACAAAAUCGAGAAAUUAACAACAAUGGAAGAUAGAGAUAUCACAGAAGAUUGGUCUAUGUGGAGUUACUAAAGUUCCUGCUUUAGAAGUGGCAUUAGCAGAAAACCUAAUCUUCAAAUCCUUACAUAACAGCUUCAUCUUCCUUUUUAUUCUUUCAACUUUUGAAUUAUACAUUGUACCAAUACAAUUCAAC
rnacentral:lncRNA from 1 species